GACGUAGGGCGCAAGCGUUGUCCGGAUUUAUUGGGCGUAAAGGGCUCGUAGGCGGUUUGUCGCGUCUGCCGUGAAAGUCCGGGGCUCAACCCCGGAUCUGCGGUGGGUACGGGCAGACUAGAGUGAUGUAGGGGAGACUGGAAUUCCUGGUGUAGCGGUGAAAUGCGCAGAUAUCAGGAGGAACACCGAUGGCGAAGGCAGGUCUCUGGGCAUUAACUGACGCUGAGGAGCGAAAGCAUGGGGAGCGAACAGG
rnacentral:rRNA from 1 species